UACGUAGGGUGCGAGCGUUGUCCGGAAUUAUUGGGCGUAAAGGGCUCGUAGGCGGUUUGUCGCGUCGGCUGUGAAAUCCCGAGGCUCAACCUCGGGUCUGCAGUCGAUACGAGCAAACUAGAGUGUUGCAGGGGAGACUGGAAUUCCUGGUGUAGCGGUGAAAUGCGCAGAUAUCAGGAGGAACACCGGUGGCGAAGGCGGGUCUCUGGGCAACAACUGACGCUGAGGAGCGAAAGCGUGGGGAGCGAACAGG
rnacentral:rRNA from 1 species